rnacentral:rRNA from 1 species
UACGAAGGGGGCGAGCGUUGUUCGGAUUUACUGGGCGUAAAGGGCGCGUAGGCGGCCCGUUUUUGUCAGGCGUGAAAGCCCUGGGCUCAACCUGGGAACUGCGCUUGGGACGGAUGGGCUUGAGAUCGGGAGAGGAGAGUGGAAUUCCCAGUGUAGCAGUGAAAUGCGCAGAUAUCAGGAGGAACACCAAUGGCGAAGGCAGCUCACUGGGACGGUAUUGACGCUGAGACGCGAAAGCGUGGGGAGCAAACAGG